CACGGGGUUGCGAGCGUUGUCCGGAAUUACUAGGCGUAAAGGGCAGGCAGGCGGAUCCAUAAGUUUAUCGUUUAAGGCGUCGGCUUAACCGGCGUAGGGCGGUAGAUACUGUGGAUCUGGAAUGCCGUUGGGGAAGACAGAAUUCCUGGUGUAGCGGUGGAAUGCGCAGAGAUCAGGAGGAAUACCGAAGGCGAAGGCAGUCUUCCAAGCCGUUAUUGACGCUCAACUGCGAAGGUGUGGGUAUCAAACAGGAUUAGAUACCCGGGUAGUCACUGA
rnacentral:rRNA from 1 species